GAUGAACGCUAGCGGGAGGCUUAACACAUGCAAGUCGAGGGGCAGCAUAGGGUAGCAAUACUCUGAUGGCGACCGGCAAACGGGUGAGUAACGCGUAUGCAACCUACCCUGUACAGGGGGAUAACCCGGAGAAAUUCGGACUAAUAUCCCGUAAUAAUAUCCGGAGGCAUCUUUGGAUAUUUAAAGUUCCGACGGUACGGGAUGGGCAUGCGUAACAUUAGCUGGUUGGUAAGGUAACGGCUUACCAAGGCUAUGAUGUUUAGGGGUCCUGAGAGGGUGGUCCCCCACACUGGUACUGAGACACGGACCAGACUCCUACGGGAGGCAGCAGUGAGGAAUAUUGGUCAAUGGGCGCAAGCCUGAGCCAGCCAUCCCGCGUGCAGGAAGACGGCCCUAUGGGUUGUAAACUGCUUUUCCAGGGAGAGAAACUUACGCACGUGUUGCGUGACUGACGGUACCCUGGGAAUAAGCAUCGGCUAACUCCGUG
rnacentral:rRNA from 1 species